GUCAAAGAGGAGGAAUGUAGGCUAACAAUUUCUGACUGUGGGCUCACAGGUAUCGGUUCCGGGUGCUAACUUCGCUUUGUUGCUUUUUGAUAAUUCUCCCAAACUGACAAAGUGACAACCUCUCACUUGAAAUCUCCUUUUUACUUGCUGCUCACCACAAUCCUGAUCCCAGACUUGAAGCAGCGACAAAAGCCGGCUCGUCAGGGAUAACAGAUGAGCGUAGAUGAACAGUGUCAGGAGGAGACGGCGCAUGUGACUGGAGCUGUGCAGCAUGACAAGUUGCCAUGUUGUGGAAUCCAAAUAGGAGCAGGGCCAGAGGUGGGGAAGAGGACCUGUCUGCGGUCCGGCUACGUCUGCCAGAGCUUCCUCCCACCUGUCUGAUGCUGCUGAAAUUUAUGUGGCUGUAUAGGAGGAGGCCAAACCAAUGUGCCAGGCCAUGUGUAGGCUUCCUUUUACACUGACAGUUGUGUGUAUGAAACUGUAGCUGGUUUCCAGUGAGGCUUGGCCCAGUGUAUCUGGAAUCUGUCAUGAGUGAAAGCUUGAAAAGGUUAGGACAGUUCAGGGAAGAUAAAUGGUGAAUGGGGAGGACAGCUGAUGUAGGAACACAAACACUUCAAGACGAUGGAGUGGACUGAGGCUGGGUUCCUAUAUCCUACUACACACUGCUGGUUCCUGUGCUACAGUUGCUGCAGAUGCAGGAAAUCAUCCGUUGUAUGCUCCACUAACAGAAGUUUCUACAGACCAUUCACAUGAGCCACUCUAUUACUCUCAUCAAAACAAAUGAUAAAGAAUGGUUAUUAGGUUUUCACCAUGUCUUUUGUGUAAUAAAGCUCGUUAACUGCAUUGUGCAAAACAAAUGGGCAGAAUAAUCAGUAUACUUAUUGACAUUGUGUCAUUUCUAGUUAGAGCAGGAAGAGGACUCUCACUAUGGCUCCGGGCUUUGCCUUCUAUCUCUCAAGAGGAAGAGCGCUAAUGGCUUCUGAAAGCAGGGAUCGAAGGAACUCAUAAAGCUCUGCAGGCCGACAUGAGAGGAGGAAGAACAUUAUUAAUCCUUUUUCAUCAGAAUACAUGACGUUCUGUGCAAUACAGCACGCAGGCUUGAGACCACUAUUACACGGCAUCACAAUAAAUGAUUGCACAGGGCGGCCUGCGUGAUGCAAGUCUGAAAAUUAAAGGAAGUGGACUUUUUAUUUUUCAUUUCUCUGCAUUUCAACAGCCAAAUAACUGGGUGUCCAGGAAAACUGGUUCCAGCAGCACCAAAACUUUGCUAGUCUAGAACCAAAAACAGAAGUCAAACUUUGUCACGGAUAUUAAAAAAAAACUGCAACAACAAUAAUUAAAAAAAACUGAGCCAUGAUAUGGACGUAUAUUUGUCUCAUUAUCUCUGGUGUUAAUGAAGAGUACCACAGUGGUGUGCAAAAAAAACAAGUGCAUUUCUUAAUGACAUUUUAUUUGCUAAUAUCAGCUGGCUUUUAUGAAUGCCGUUGCAAAUACUUUCACAUAGAGUAGUGUUCACAAAUACCGACUUCCAUGUACAAUGCCAUUUAUGAACACCGACCGUCGAAGUUAAAACAAUGGCAGGUCAAUGAGAUGAAUAUUGACUCCUUUAGCUUUCCAGCAGUGGUCUACGGGAGAGGCAAAGUGUCGCUUUGCACUGUGAUCCUUGACAGAAGUUCAGAAUGAAUUUUAGGGAGUUUCAGUAACAAAAUAUUUGCACCAUCAUUUACAGUGAUGUAAUGGCAUAUAUGAUACAGUGUAGGACAUAGAAAAGCAUCCUAGUUCAGGUUUGAAACUCUGUACUAGCACUAGCAGCAAUCCACGAUUAGUAUCAUUUUGUGUCGGUGGAAAGACGAUAAUAAUAACAAGAAAAGCACUCAGAGAGCUCUUUGCUCCACCAAGGCUAUUUAUUCCCCCAUAUGGCAUUGUCAGAAAUUCAGCAUUUGUUUUUUUUUUUUUUUUUUUUUUUUAGAAAUGCAGCAUUUGUUUAUUAGUUAUUGAUGAUCAGAAAUCACGGCAACAUAGAAUGUGGCCAUUUAAUAUAGAUGUACCCACAAACAAAAUGACCUUGCGCUGAGCACAGGUGUGUGUUAUGCAUGUGUACAUGAUGUACGUUAUACUGAAUCGCAUGACCUAAAUAUGUAGCGGGCAGCGGUAAUUGAUGGGACUCGGAAACACCCCCACAAGUUAAUCAAUAGUUCCUUGUAUGAUUUCCGAUGGAUAAGUCUCAAUAAGUCCGCAGCGGUGGAUUUGUAGUAGGAUCGCAGUCAUGUGAGGCAGGCAGCUGACGUAGUGUUCACUUGUUGUCAUGGUUACAGGGACACCGUGCCGCUAUCUUGCAAUGAUACAGAAUUUUUUAACAAAUCCGUGGAUCUAGACUACGUCGCAUCACUGCCAAAAUCUAAUCAGGCGGUCCUUGUGUCAUUUCUGACCUUCCCUGAAAAUCUCAUCCAAAUUAGUUAGUCCAUUUUUGAGUAAUGUUGCUAACAGACAGACAGACAAACUGACAAAAGUACGCAGAUCAUCACAUAACUGCCGAGUUCCUUUGCGGAGUAAUAAGGGGAACAGGGAAACUAAGUCAGCUGGGCCACAGCAUUAGCAGGACCUUCCAUAACAAUGGAAAAUUUUGCAAUCUUGAAAUGUCAUAUUGUUAACAUGACAAGUACAUUAUUACUGUUCAAUGCAACUAUUGUAAUGGACUACUUAUGUCUGUAUUCAUCACCUUAAUCUAAUAUUGGUAGGUAACAUGGCCGUCUAGCUAAUGUUAUAAAAACUUGAAUGAACCUUUGGUUUCAGUUUUGAGAUGAAAAGUAAAUUUAAGAAUAAGGAGUUUUGCUAAAUAAUAAUGUUUACAUGACUAGUUUCUUAGAGUUUUAAUUUGUUUUAAUGAUAGAAACAAUCUUCAGCAACAUCAAAAAUAUUUAUCAAAUCUGAGUUAUUUGCCAAGAUUCCUAUAUUUAGACCUGUAAGUUAAUUUGAUGGUAACACCAGGUUCUAAUCCUGUAUUUUCAGUUUUAAUGCUCUGACUACUAAGUUAUGAUGCUACCUCCAUAUUACAUCAGAACAUUUUGAAACAAAUGCAUUGGGAUUCUGUAAAUAAAACAAGAUUCCAUUAAAUUCUUUUUUUUUUAUUGUUUCCAUGUUGUGAAAUACAGCAAUCCCAUCUCAGACCACAGUAAGAAUCCUUUUCAUCACUGUCUUGCUCAGGUACUGUGAUGGAAAUAAAGUAAAAACUCAAAACUCAAAAGCUUCACACAGUAUUCUCACAAAUGCCUCAAAUGUGGCUGAGAUUCCAGAUUGUGCUGAGCACUUCAUUAUUGAUCAUUUUAUUGGAUGUAUUAAAUGGGUAAGAGAGCCUACUGAGGCUGCAUACAACUGAAAUAUUAAAUUUUUCAACCAGAAAACUUCAGAAAUAAAGGGCAUUUUACUAAACACUGUUACUGAAAAAUUAAUCAUGCAAAUUAAGAAUUUUCCAUGAUUAAUCCAGGGGUGUAAAAAUAUGUGUUGAAAAUAUUUUCAGUUCAGGCUUCUGUUCUGAUGUGUUCAU